UUUAUGGAGAGUUUGAUCCUGGCUCAGGGUGAACGCUGGCGGCGUGCCUAAUACAUGCAAGUCGAGCGAACAGACGA
rnacentral:rRNA from 1 species